rnacentral:lncRNA from 1 species
CCACUCAAGACGGCAAUGACACGCUGCCCUAGUGAUGCACACUGCCUAAGGCAACGUGCACUGCCUGAGGCAGCAGCAUGCCUCGUUAGUCAGCUGAGUGCAUUGCCUACAGCGGGCAGGACGCUACGCGUAGGCCUACUGCGCUGACGGCACGCGUACAGGGCACACAACGCCGUGCUAGUCUAUGUGCAAUAGGACGUGGGUGCAGACUGGCCUCGCUCCCGCAAGGGCGGAUCCUUUUCCGUCGCGUCAUGUUUUCCC